CAUUGAAACACCCGUUUUUGUUCGAUCGCCGAAGUUGAACAACGAUGAGUCUGGUCAGUAAGUAGAUGGGUGACCGCUUGGGAACUCCAGGUGCUGUAAG